GAUGUGAGGGUGAUCUGACUGUGACAUCUGUCACCCCAUGGAUUUCCAGGAUUGGUUCAGGCUGAUCUGCCUGGCUAGAUAGGUGUCCCCUUCCUUCUUCAUCACUC
rnacentral:sRNA from 1 species